GAAAUGCGAUAAGUAAUGUGAAUUGCAGAAUUCAGUGAACCAUCGAAUCUUUGAACGCACAUUGCGCCCGCCAGUAUUCUGGCGGGCAUGCCUGUUCGAGCGUCAUUUCAACCCUCAAGCUCCGGCUUGGUGUUGGGGAUCGGCAGCCCGGCUUCGCGCCGACGCCGUCCCCCAAAUGCAGUGGCGGUCACGCUGCAGCCUCCUAUGCGUAGUAGCACACCUCGCACUGGAGAGCAGCGCGGCCACGCCGUAAAACCCCCUACUUUUUGUGGUUGACCUCGAAUCAGGUAGGACUACCCGCUGAACUUAA
rnacentral:misc_RNA from 1 species